rnacentral:sRNA from 1 species
UCCAGGUGUGGUGGUGCACACCUGUAAUCCCAGCAGCUUGGGAGGAUGAGAUAGGAAGAUUUUAAGUUUGAAAUCAGCCUCAGCUAGCAAAAUUCUGCCUGGGGAUGUAGCUCAGUAGUAAAAUACUCCUGGUUCCU